rnacentral:rRNA from 1 species
AUUGAACGCUGGCGGCAGGCCUAACACAUGAAAGUCGAACGAGUGGCGGACGGGUGAGUAAUGUCUGGGAAACUGCCCGAUGGAGGGGGAUAACUACUGGAAACGGUAGCUAAUACCGCAUACCAUCGGAUGUGCCCAGAUGGGAUUGGCUAGUAGGUGGGGUAACGGCUCACCUAGGCGACGAUCCCUAGCUGGUCUGAGAGGAUGACCAGCCAAACUGGAACUGAGACACGGCCCAGACUCCUACGGGAGGCAGCAGUGGGGAAUAUUGCACAAUGGGCGCAAGCCUGAGGCAGCCAGGCCGCGUGUAUGAAGAAGGCCUUCGGGUUGUAAAGUACUUUCAGCGGGGAGGCGUUACUCGGAGAAGAAGCACAGGAAAACUCCGUGCCAGCAGCCGCGGUAAUUC